UCCCUGGUGGUCCAGUGGCUAGGACUCCAGGCUCUCAAUGCAGGACGCCUAGGUUUGAUCCCUGGUCAGGGAA
rnacentral:tRNA from 1 species